AAAAAAAAAUUCCCCGGACACGUGUACCUAGUAACUUUUCCAGAAUCCAGGGAGAAGAGGAAAGAUAAGAGAAAUCCGGGUAAUCUGGAAACUUUCGAGAAAACUACGUCUCUCUCUCCGAGGAUUUUUCUCCCCGUGUGUAAUUUUCGUGCGGAAGCAGCCCCGAAAAUCGAGUCCACCCCAACCAUCUCUGAUCCUCUACCCUCGUGGCAUGGGAAAGACGCGGCAGGAUUGGCGCUCGAUCGCUGGAGGGGUCGUUUCCCGGAUCCUCGGGUGGGAUCCUCCAUAGAGAUCGCGACCAAUGAUAGCGUACGCAGCUGCCCUGGGGAAUCCACGAAUCCUUCUUCGAAGACCCCUUUUGACGAGGGGCAAGCAGCGGCUGACGCCUCGAAACGCCGAUAGGGCCGCGUGGAUUACCCUUGCCUCUCCCUCCACUCCUCCCCCCUUAACAACCACGCUUAAUCAUGCUUACAUGUGGGAAACGAUAACAAUUUAGACCGGGUGAAUGGAGGAAGGCAGAACGAUCGAGGACAAUGGAGGGAAGGAUCGUGGGUCUGGGGCAAGGUGGAAUGGAUGGUUUUUCGCGGAUUCACCCGGCAAUUACACGGAGAAACACUUCCACACACGGGUGAAACAUUCCUGCAUAUAAAUCGCCGACCGCGCACACGAUCGAUCGUCGUGAAACAUGGUUGCAUCGUGCACACAGGUGCACGAACGCGGUGCGGUGACCUCGAAACAAUGCAUUCUUCGGCAGCGAUCGACUUUUCCAUGGGGCGGCGAAUCGAAUGGACUGUAUUUUCACCUCGCAAAAUUAAUUUCUUCUUUAUUCAAGUUUUCCUCCCUUUACGACGCGUCUAUUAUUUCGCUUAUUUUAUUCGUUCGUGGAUCGUUACCCUUCACGGAGAUCGGAGACAGAAGUGAGAAAUUUUUCUCUUUGAGAAAAUUAUUCUUCUUUAAUUAUUAUUUAUUAGAAGGCGAGAUUUCUCGAGCGAGGAAUAUCGCUCUAAACACCGGUCGGCACGGAAACGAACCAACGCACGCGAGGAAAAUUCUUUCGUACUUUCUCGCGUGGUUACGGCCCCGCAAGUUUCACGCGCAAGAUCCCUCCGCUGCUGCUACAAUGUUACUCGCAUUCGCUGUCGGCGUUUCACCUGCAAUUUGCUCGAAUUUUUUUCUCCAUCCUCCGUUCCACGCUUUAUUCUAUAUCAGUCGCGUGGAAACCUUGAACCAACUCUUAAGGUAUAUGUUUAUCAUAUACUUUGAAUCCAUUGUUUUUCUAAAUCUAUCCUUUUUACGAUAAUGUCUGAAUAUAUGACUGCGAUCGGUUCCGAACGCUGCCGAAUAGUGCCGAACAGUGCCGAAGCGAAUAACGAGACCUGUCGCGCAUGCGUAGUAAUAAUCGGAGAACGAGACUAAUCUCGAAUUAACUGAAUGUAAUCACGUAAAAAUAUCGCUAAUGAAUCUAAAUUAAUCUUGUAGCGAUUAAAUAAGAAAAUGUAAAAAGAUUAUUUUUCUUUUCUCGUUUCGAUAAAUUCAAUAAUCAAGUUAAAUCAUCGACAGUAGAUGCGGAUCACAGAUAAUAGCGAAACUUGCCUCGAGUGGGCGAUGUAUUAGGAAGUGGUGGGGAUAACACGUGAGCAUAAGCGGACAAAUUCACGUCCGUAUAUCCGGACACGCUUGUGCUUCGUUCUUUUUCUUCUUUUUUUUCACGGCGUAAGAAGUGGCGUAUGAAAAUUUCCCAACAAAUCUGUCCCGGGAUAAAAAGGGGAGCGAUCGAGGCAAGCCGAAUUGGUCGAGGUAAAUCAAUUUCGAGUCCGUCGCUUGUACAAGCACGGUAGUUUAUCGAGCGGGCCGAUUGUUUCUUUGUGUGUCGGUGAAUGAUCGAUCGACUUGUCGGACAGUCGAAAACUGGUCGUCCAAUCGCGGCGUGCCGAAUCUUAAGUAGCCGGCCGGCCACGAGAAAAAAGUAUUGCCCGGGUUAACGGUGUCCACUCUCGAUUCGACUCUCUUAUUAUCGCGUCGAUUGCGAUUCAAAUUCGAGCUCUCCCGGUCAUCGAACAUAUACGAUCUUUGACACGAGCGAAACGAGAAGAGAAAGAAACAGCGAUCGUUCAAGUUAAUAAAUAACCAAAUAGGAAAAGUCGAUACGAAAAGAAGGGGGAAAGAGGCACGGAAAGCGAGAGAAAGAUGGAGAAUUACGGCCGAUAGGUGACGAAGGACAAGCCGGCGAGGGAAAUUGGACUGGAAGCUUUCCUCGCGAAUCGCGAGUCGGAACACAAUGGCGGCGGCAGAUCGCGCGGAUAACGCGUUGCGAACGACAUUUUCCUCGGCCGAAACGGGUUCACGGCUCGAUGCGGAUUCUUUUCUCGGAAGAGUCGUCGCCCGAUCUCUGCUCGCACGUGCCACGGAAAUUUAGGGGAUUUGCGGGAGCGAAGUUGGUAGGCGUGGUGACACAAACAUGGCUUCUGGAAAAGAACAGAGAGCAGCACGUCGGUGCAUGUUCUUGGGAAGCGAUAAUCGAGUAUUUCUGUGUGUUGCAGAGAGAGACGAGUCGAGAUUAGAAACAUCUUUAUCUCGAUUCUAUACUGCGUUGCGCUGAAAAAUCAAGGAAGAGAGAAUUUAAUUUACGAAGUGAUCGCAACUUUUUGAAAUACUUGCUGUUAAACUCACGAAUAGAAAUUUGUUCGAUCAAAAUCAACUUACUUAUACUUUAUUGCUCAGAAAAGUCACUGUAAUUUAUAUUUGUUCGAAACGUAUGAAAAAUAAAGAAGACGUGAAACAAUUCUUCUCUUGGAAUAUAAUUAUCAUUCAAUUCCUUAAAAUCAUUAUCUCUGAAACAGAGGCGAAGAUUAUUUCAUCGUUGGAAUCUUUCUUCUCGUUUCCAAAUAUCAAUGGAAGGAUAUUAAAAGGAGAACGAUUUUCGUUUCUCAAUUUCCCUCUCCCCUCCCUCCUUACUUGAAUUCCCGAGAAAAAAUGUCAGAGGGCACGCUUCGAGAGUUCGGCGAAAAAAUUCCUCUCUCUCUCUCUCUGCCCGGCUGGAUUAACGGGUCCCGCGGGCGACGCUGGCGCUUCUGUUGCCACUGGAAUGUCCAGGAACGCCCGGAGGACCGUAACUCCGACGAGCAUCGCGCGGUGUUGCACGGCGUGGCAUGGCGCGCGCGAUAACCAUCGGCCGAGGACGAGAAGGGAAGAAAAGGUAGAGAAAGAUAGAGACAGAGAGAGGGAGCUCGUGUAGGACAGCCGUUAACGAGCGAUUCCGCGCAGAAACCUGGCCCUCCCCUCCUUCCCCCUCCACCCUUUCUCCGCCACACUUCGAGGAUCGCUCGAGGAUUCGCUCGCUCGUUGGAAAAUACUUCCUCUCCUCUUCUUCCAAAAAAGAAAUAUAUAUAUAGCAAGGGUGGCUCUCGCCCCUUGUUGCGCCCCGAAUAAAACAGAGACAUCCAACCGAGCGAGGGAAAAAAAAGAAAGAAGGAAAGCAAGAAAGGAAACGACGAAGAGAAAGGAGGAGGAAUAAAAAAGAGAGAAAAGAGAGAAAAAAAGCAGCGAAAAGUUCCCAGCUGUUCGAGGCCUAUCUCCGCGAUGGAUCAAAGAUGGCGGACGGGUCGGUUGAGCGGCACGAAGAGAGAGAAAGAGGGAGGGUUUCAACCCUUGCUAUCUGGCCCAUCGGGGCUUUCGAGCACGUUGGACUCUGUACCCGGUUCAUAUAAUAAACGCUCGGCUGGAAUUUCCGUGGAAGAGACACGUCGGCACAAUGCGUUUUCACGUGAGCUCGAUAUGUGCCACGACUUUAUUAUUUCGGGAGGGAAGGGGAGAGAGGGAGUGGGGUGAACAUAUAUAUAUACCUGGUGGUGGCCGCCCUUUGUUUCGCUGAUCGUAUCGGCGACGGCCCUCUUUCUCUCCUCUCUCGUCACAUCUGCGACCGGAUUCGCUCGGUCGGUAAAAACGCGACAUAUUGUGCGAAAAGCAUAUGGCCCUCGUGGCUCCUCCUAUUUUUCGGGGACCCUGUCCCCCUUUUUUUCACCGAGGGGGUCGAGGAUCGUUAAUCGACCGGAUUCUACCGCGUUCCUACCGUUCGUUCAAGUUUCUGUUUCUCCUCGAGAUAUACGUAUAUAUGUAACGCGGUCGUAAAUCGUCGUCGGUGCAAUUGACGUCGCGAUGUAAUAUAUAUAACGUUGUCGGUAAUCGGUUCGAGUCCGGAUUUUUUCCUCGAUCGAGUUUACGAUAUAUUUCUAGACGAUAGCUAUUAUAACAGAUCGGUGAUUAGACUUCAUUAAGCGUGGAUUAGCAUUCUUAUGCACAGAUCAAACUAUAUCUUUAUAGAUCGAAUUCUAGAUAUACUUCAAACUUCAACUACCAAUUCUACAGAAGAUAUUACCUGCAAUUUUUCUUUUGUAAAUUUAAAUUAAUACAUUUAUCAGUAUUCGAAUAUUUUUAUAUUUCCAGCAAGUAUCUUUUCACUGUCGAAAAGAAUAAAUUGGACAAGAAAAGGAAGAAAUAUUCGAUACCAAUUAUCGAACACGGUGCAAGCGUUUAAUAUCGAAGGCGAAGUUUGGAUGCUCGGCUCGAUUAUUAAAAUAAAAGAGAGAAACUCGCGGGCAGAGAAAAAUUACAGCGUCGAGCCGAAAAUGUGACACGCGUACCGGCGAUAAGGCGACGCCUACCGAUUUAAACCGAUACAUAUUUUAUUGGGGAAGGCGCGCGAGAUCCACGCGAGAGAGUCUCGGUUGAAUGAUAGAUGGGCGGGCCGCCGUCGUAAUAUUUGGCGGGUUCGAAAAUUUUUGCCCAAUUAACCGAAAUAUUAUCAAGAUUAAUCAUUCACCCGUCCGCGACAAGUUCAAACAUGUUUUUGAAAGUCAUUAAUUCACUUUGUAAUUACUUCGAGGAUUAUUGUUAGAUUUUACGCGUUUUAUUCUCUGAAAUGACCAUGUUUACGAUUUCGACGCUGUAAUGAAAUAUUCAAACUUGUUUAACCUUUUCUCUUUUAAUUAGUAGAUUUAU